CGCUCAGGCUGGUGACAUUCAGAAGCAGAGAGAGGAGUACGAAAGGAUGAAAUGAGAUCUCCAACAUAAGGCCCAGGAGGUGGAGGGAGAGCUGGCUAUACGGAACCAGUUGAAGCUGCUCUCUAAUGAGACAGAGGUCCACUCCCAGGCCUAGGCUGUGGAGGCCCUGAAGGCCUCAGAGGAUCUCUGUCAGCACACACAGCUACAGCACAGAGACUGGGAGAUAAAGGACAUCACCUCCGUCAAGGACGCACUUAAAACGAUUCAUGCCAGCCUUAUUUCCCAUUGUCAUUUCAAAGGAGCUAGAAGACAAACUAAAAGCUAUGCAGACCAAGAGGAAGAGAGAGAAGGAGAGAGGAAGGGAGAGGAGGGGAGAGGAGGAGAGAGGAAGAAUUAUACAAUAAGAAGGGAGUCCUAGAUCUUACCACUACUACUAUACAAAUGCAACAGACAGAGGCACAAAGAAAGACCAAUUAGCAGCAUAGGAGUAGAAGUCCUAGACUAAUGGUGGUCUAUUGGAUGGUGUCUUGAUGUUCCUAUCUGUAGGCAUGAUGAAUUGGACCGGGGAGUGCGUGAGAGAGAGGCUCAGCUGGAUGCAUUACGGGACGCUUACAGAGAACAGCUACAACUGGCAGAGACAGAUACCGAUCAUCUACGGUCACAACUGGACGCUAUUCCAACACACACACAUGCAGGCCCCGGAGAGACCACAAGGAAAUAAUGCGAAACAGACACACACAGUGUCUCACCUGUCUAUGCUUCGUAUGGAGCUAGAGACAAUGCGUAGUGGCACGUACAUCAUUCAGGUCUCUAAGGAGACGGUUGUCAAGGACACAGAGCUGCUGGCCUUUAAGAAGAGAGAGAGCAAACUACGGCCCGAACUGGAUCGGAGCAGGGGGGAGAUGGAGAGGUCUGCUUGUGUACAAGCAGCAGCUAUGUGUGGGUGUGGCACGAGAAGGUUCUGGAGCAGAGGAGAAUCCAGAGACGCUGUGAAGACAACAAGGCUGAACACUAACUGCACAGUGAGGGGUUAAUUAAUAGCGGGCCUGACACAGGCCAGAGACCAGGUGAGUCUCCUACAGCUAGUCUGGUUCAUACACCUAUAGACACCUAACUA
rnacentral:lncRNA from 1 species